AUUGAACGCUGGCGGCAUGCUUUACACAUGCAAGUCGAACGGUAACAGGCCUUCGGGUGCUGACGAGUGGCGAACGGGUGAGUAAUGCAUCGGAACGUGCCCAGAGGUGGGGGAUAACGAGCCAAAAGCUGUCUUAAUCCCCAAUGGGAUCGGGGGUUGAAAGGGGGGGCCAAGGAGGCAAUGUUUGGCCUGGGCCCCCUGGACGGCCGGUGUCCGAUUAGGUAGUUGGUGGGGUAAAGGCCUACCAAGCCGACGGAUGGUAGCUGGUCUGAGAGGACGACCAGCCACACUGGGACUGAGACACGGCCCAGACUCCUACGGGAGGCAGCAGUGGGGAAUUGUGGACAAUGGGCGCAAGCCUGAUCCAGCAAUGCCGCGUGCGGGAAGAAGGCCUUCGGGUUGUAAACCGCUUUUGUACGGAACGAAAAGGCUCUGGCUAAUACCUGGGGCUGAUGACGGUACCGUAAGAAUAAGCACCGGCUAACUACGUG
rnacentral:rRNA from 1 species